rnacentral:rRNA from 1 species
UACGUAGGGUGCAAGCGUUGUCCGGAAUUAUUGGGCGUAAAGAGCGUGUAGGCGGCUUGGCAAGUCUGGUGUGAAAUCUUGCGGCUCAACCGCAAGCGGUCACUGGAAACUGCCUCGCUAGAGUCCGGAAGAGGAGAGCGGAAUUCCUGGUGUAGCGGUGGAAUGCGCAGAUAUCAGGAAGAACACCCGUGGCGAAGGCGGCUCUCUGGGACGGUACUGACGCUGAGACGCGAAAGCGUGGGGAGCGAACAGG